CAAGGCGACGAUCCCUAGCUGGUCUGAGAGGAUGACCAGCCACACUGGAACUGAGACACGGUCCAGACUCCUACGGGAGGCAGCAGUGGGGAAUAUUGCACAAUGGGCGCAAGCCUGAUGCAGCCAUGCCGCGUGUAUGAAGAAGGCCUUCGGGUUGUAAAGUACUUUCAGCGGGGAGGAAGGUGUUGUGGUUAAUAACCGCAGCAAUUGACGUUACCCGCAGAAGAAGCACCGGCUAACUCCGUGCCAGCAGCCGCGGUAAUACGGAGGGUGCAAGCGUUAAUCGGAAUUACUGGGCGUAAAGCGCACGCAGGCGGUCUGUCAAGUCGGAUGUGAAAUCCCCGGGCUCAACCUGGGAACUGCAUUCGAAACUGGCAGGCUUGAGUCUUGUAGAGGGGGGUAGAAUUCCAGGUGUAGCGGUGAAAUGCGUAGAGAUCUGGAGGAAUACCGGUGGCGA
rnacentral:rRNA from 3 species